rnacentral:tRNA from 1 species
GGAGAGGUCGCAUAGUCCGGUCGAGUGCGCGUGUUUGGAGUACACGUGGGCCCUUUGGGUCUCCAGGGUUCGAAUCCCUGCCUCUCCGCCA